CCUACGGGCGGCAGCAGUGGGCAAUAUUGCACAAUGGGCGCAAGCCUGAUGCAGCCAUGCCGCGUGUGUGAAGAAGGCCUUCGGGUUGUAAAGCACUUUCAGCGGGGAGGAAGGCGGUGAGGUUAAUAACCUCAUCGAUUGACGUUACCCGCAGAAGAAGCACCGGCUAACUCCGUGCCAGCAGCCGCGGUAAUACGGAGGGUGCAAGCGUUAAUCGGAAUUACUGGGCGUAAAGCGCACGCAGGCGGUCUGUCAAGUCGGAUGUGAAAUCCCCGGGCUCAACCUGGGAACUGCAUUCGAAACUGGCAGGCUAGAGUCUUGUAGAGGGGGGUAGAAUUCCAGGUGUAGCGGUGAAAUGCGUAGAGAUCUGGAGGAAUACCGGUGGCGAAGGCGGCCCCCUGGACAAAGACUGACGCUCAGGUGCGAAAGCGUGGGGAGCAAACAGGAUUAGAUACCCUAGUAGUC
rnacentral:rRNA from 1 species